rnacentral:rRNA from 1 species
CACCUGUGCACCGACUGUAGGUCUGGAUACCUCUCGCCCUUCACGGGGCGGAUGCGAGGACUGCUCGUAAGGGCUCUCCUCGAAUUUCCAGGCUCUACGUCUUUUUACACACCCCAAUAGUAUGAUGUAGAAUGUAGUCAAUGGGCUUCUUAGCCUAUAAAACACUAUACAACUUUCAGCAACGGAUCUCUUGGCUCUCGCAUCGAUGAAGAACGCAGCGAAAUGCGAUAAGUAAUGUGAAUUGCAGAAUUCAGUGAAUCAUCGAAUCUUUGAACGCACNUUGCGCUCNUUGGUAUUCCGAGGAGCAUGCGUGUUUGAGUGUCAUUAAAUUCUCAACCUCACCAGUUUUCUGAACUGUUCUCCGAGGCUUGGAUGUGGGGGUUUGUGCAGGCUGCCUCACGGCGGUCUGCUCCCCUGAAAUGCAUUAGCGAGUUCAUACUGAACUUCCGUCUAUUGGUGUGAUAAUUAUCUACGCCGUGGACGAGGUUCAGACUCGCUUCUAACCGUCCGCGAGGACAAUA